CCACUCCUUCAUGGCCUCCUCAUCCUUCAGCUUGAAAGCUACUUCUACUCGAGCAUAUCCUUCGAACCGAGCCAGUAAAUCAGCAAAGUCCCUGGGAUACUUUUUUUCAAAAAAAAUAAAAGGUCAUUCUUUUGAAGACCGCACUUCAGGGUGGCCAUUACAACUGAUUGGUCCAAGUUUCGGACCUCCAAUGUGGUGGCAUUAAAAUGGUUGACAUAAGUUCAGAUGGAUUCUCUUUUCUUUUGCUUGAUGUUGAUGA
rnacentral:lncRNA from 1 species